GGAGCUCUGUAUGUAUAGUGCAGGGAGCUCUGUAAGUUGGAGCUCUGUAUGUAUAGUGCAGGGAGCUCUGUAUGUUGGAGCUCUGUAUGUAUAGUGCAGGGAGCUCUGUAUGAUGGAGCUCUGUAUGUAUAGUGCAGGGAGCUCUGUUUGAUGGAGCUCUGUAUGUAUAGUGCAGGGAGCUCUGUUUGAUGGAGCUCUGUAUUACAUUGCAGGGAGCUCUGUAUAAUGGAGCUCUGUAUAUAUAGUGCAGGGAGCUCUGUAUGCAUAGUGUAGGGAGCUCUAUAGCCAGGCAGUAAAGCUGGGCUAGUGUUGAAAAGGGAGAGUAAUAAAUGUGAAUAAAAGCAGGCUCCAGUUGUGUUAAAAUAAAAUAAGAAGAGCUAAAAGAAAGUGUGAGUUUGGAGGAUGUGAAUGGGAAUCAGUGAAUAAGAAGAUGGAGUGAAUGUGAGAGAAUGAGCUCCAUUUGAGAAGCACAUUGAUUGCUUGAAAGAAGCUCCAAUGUGAAGCUCUGUGAGAGCAGUGAGUGGGAGCAGCAGCCAGUGCUGACGGAGCCUGGGAGAAGGAUAAGAGGAUCUUUGUCAAGCUGCACUUCCGGCCUACGGCUGUAGCUCCAUGAAUCUGCCCGAUCCCACGAUCUCGGAAGCGCAGCAAGGAGGAGCCUGGGCAGGUCUUGGAUGGGAGACGGUUGCGAGUAGGUUACGGUUACAGUGGCUGCGAGAAGGUUACGGAUACACCAAGACCAGCCGGGUGUUGUAGGCUUAUUUUUGCUUUUUCGUUUUCUCUCCCACCACAAGAGGGCGAUCAACUCAAUGCAAUCUUCCAUUCACUCUUUUCUGAGGGUUAUUCAUUUAUUAUUGUGUCCUUAAAGGCAAACACACUCAUUAUUAUUCACUCAAAUCAAAAUUCAAAGUCAAUCUCAUGUUUAAAGGGUUACUACAACUCAUUUACUCCCUAAUCACUUUUUUAAACAUUUCUGACUUACGCAAUACGUUUCUUUAGAUCCCUCAUCUUUUUCUCAUGAAAAAUGUAUAAAAAAGUGUAAAACUUAAAAUACCUCCAUUUUAGUAACAUUGACAUCUUACUGACCCCCAAAAGGAUUUUUAUUGAUUUGAUUUUUUAUAAAAAAAAUAUCAAAUAUGGUGUCUGACUUUCAUGAACUGGCCAGCCACCACAUAAUUAACCCUCACACCACCAAGGAU